UGACUCAGUGGUAACAGUGCCUGCCUAGCAAGCAGGAGGCCCUGGGUUCAAAUCCCAG
rnacentral:tRNA from 1 species